rnacentral:rRNA from 1 species
AAUCCAUAUCCACCUUGUGUGCAAUGUUUGUUGGGAAAGUCUUUUCUUUCCCUUCAUAAAUACCAACCUAUAUCUUUAACAACAUUCGUCUGAUAACAUAUUAUGAAUAUACUUAAUUCAAAAUAUAACUUUCAACAACGGAUCUCUUGGCUCUCGCAUCGAUGAAGAACGCAGCGAAAUGCGAUACGUAAUGUGAAUUGCAGAAUUCAGUGAAUCAUCGAAUCUUUGAACGCAUAUUGCGCUCUUUGGUAUUCCGAAGAGCAUGCUUGUUUGAGUAUCAGUAAACACCUCAACCUCUCUUUUUGACAAAAAAAGGGAGGGUGGACUUGAGCUAUCCCAACGACCUUCACCGGUAGGCGGGCGGCUUGAAAUGCAGGUGCAGCUGGACUUUUAUCUGAGCUAAAAGCAUAUCUAUUUAGUCCUCGUCAAACAGGAUUAUUACUUUUGCUGCAGCUAACAUAAAGGAUAAUUGUCCUCUUUGCUGACUGAUGCAGGAUUUUACGACACUUUAUGUGUUGUUCAACUCGAUCUCAAAUCAAGUAAGACUACCCGCUGAACUUAAGCAUAUCAAUAAGCGGAGGAAAAGAAACUAACAAGGAUUCCCCUAGUAACGGCGAGUGAAGCGGGAUGAGCUCAAAUUUGAAAUCUGGCUGGUUUACUAGUCCGAGUUGUAAUUUAAAGAAGCGUU